UACGGGGGGAGCAAGCGUUGUUCGGAUUUACUGGGCGUAAAGGGCGCGUAGGCGGCCAGCACAAGUCAGUUGUGAAAUCUCCGAGCUUAACUCGGAAAGGUCAACUGAUACUGUGCGGCUAGAGUGCAGAAGGGGCAACUGGAAUUCUCGGUGUAGCGGUGAAAUGCGUAGAUAUCGAGAGGAACACCUGCGGCGAAGGCGGGUUGCUGGGCUGACACUGACGCUGAUGCGCGAAAGCUAGGGGAGCGAACGGG
rnacentral:rRNA from 1 species